GUACCCGUAGCUCAGCUGGAUAGAGCGUCUGACUACGGAUCAGAAGGCCAGGGGUUCGAAUCCCUUCGGGUACA
rnacentral:tRNA from 1 species